rnacentral:snRNA from 1 species
GGUAACGACAUCAUCGAUAUCGA